GAUGAACGCUAGCGGCAGGCUUAACACAUGCAAGUCGAGGGGUAGAGGCUUUCGGGCCUUGAGACCGGCGCACGGGUGCGUAACGCGUAUGCAAUCUGCCUUGUACUGGGGGAUAGCCCAGAGAAAUUUGGAUUAAUACCCCAUAGUAUUUUCGGUUGGCAUCAACUGAUUAUUAAAGUUUUUCGGUACAAGAUGAGCAUGCGUCCCAUUAGCUAGUUGGUAUGGUAACGGCAUACCAAGGCUACGAUGGGUAGGGGUCCUGAGAGGGAGCUCCCCCGCACUGGUACUGAGGCACGGACCAGACUCCUACGGGAGGCAGCAGUGAGGAAUAUUGGUCAAUGGUCGCAAGACUGAACCAGCCAUGCCGCGUGCAGGAUGAAGCAUCUAUGGUGUGUAAACUGCUUUUGUACGGGAAGAAACACUCCUACGUGUAGGGGCUUGACGGUACCGUAAGAAUAAGGAUCGGCUAACUCCGUGCCAGCCGCCGCCGUAAUAC
rnacentral:rRNA from 1 species